GACCCAAGAGGCCACCAUGGUUCACACAGACAUCUACUUGGGAGCCUGUUGCCCAGGUGUCCAGCCCCCAAUACCUGACCAGAGGACACCCCUUGGCCUUGCUUCUCCUGAGAUUUUGCCCUGCGCAGAAGGCCUGAACUCAGCAUAAGUGCAGCCAGUCGCCUCCUAAUCAAAGAGGCAGACCCCACCUCACGGGGGACAGACAUUCAAGUGGACACUCAGGAUGAGAGCAGGAAGGGGAAGGAAGUUUGGGCAGUUCCAUCCCCUUGUGCUGG